CACAUCUACUCUACCUAGCACUAGGCAUCAUUAGAACAAUGGUAUUAUAUGCACUACAAGAUUCCUGAACACACCCAGAAAAAUGGAAACAGAAGCAUUUGGCUUUUAGCAGAGCAGAGAAUUUUGGUUUUAGCUGCAUGAAUUGGCCAGACUCUAAAUAGAUCUUUUUUAUUUCAGGUGAUUCUUGAAUUUGAAAUCUGUCAGCAAAGCUUGAAGUUGGAUUCUAGGAAAUUGGAAGGUUUAGAAAGAGCAUAGCUUGAUUAGAAGUUCAGAACCAUCUUUUUCCAUUGGUAACUGCUUUAAGUUUCAUCACAAGCUCUUCCCUUUGAGCUUCUACCUCAGCAUAUUUGAGACUCAUGUGGAAGUAGCGUUCCCGAAUAUCUCUUAACUCUGUCUCUAAUGAUGAUUUUGUGCGUUCGAAUUUUUCUUUCGGUACGAAUUCACCUUCUGCUUUUGAUUUUCUUGGAGAUCCUGUGCGACCUUUCCAGCUCUCAGAGAUCAACCUGUGUCCAGGCCAAGUUACCAAAAAACAAUUAUGUGAAAAUGGAAGCAGAGGUUCCAUAUAAAACUAUCUGGGAUUUCCUGCACAGAUGACUUAGUUGAUGAAUGAUCUGAAAAAUCACCUGUAAAUGUUGCUUGGUUGGCUAAAUUAAACAUGGUUUUACUUAAAUACUUGCCUUUUAACCUGAGCUUUAUAUGCAUUGUUUGCUUCCAUGGCCUUGUUGGACUGUUCAUCCUCAAGCACCUGAAUUUUUGAGGAAUUAUCACCCUGAUUUCGGAAAAAAACAGCAUUCGAUGCUUCAAAGAAUCAGAUGAAAUCAUUGCUCAAAAGAAGAAGAAAACAGAGGAAAACAGAAGAGAAUGCAUACUUCUCUUUGCUGUUGAUUACUGGGAGAAUUUACACUUUUCGAUUCCCUCGAAUUUCUUUGUUUUUCCUUCAUCAAUAUCAACUCUUCUUCAAGGGAUUGAAUUCUUUUUGUGCACUUUUCUUUCUCUUCCUCAAGUUGUUGUAUCUGUUGUUGAAGUUGCUUGUUUGUUCUCUUGAUCCGGCUGAGCUCAUUUUUAAGUUCUGCAUCCUGUUCACAUAAAGCUUCUUUUGCUGUUAGGUCACUCGCCAAUUGUUGAAGCUUUUGUUCCAAGUCAAAUUUAUCUUGUUUGCAUUCUUCUAAUUCUGAAACAGCCUUCUGCAAGUCAGUGAUCUUUUUAAUAAACAAAUUGGUCUCUAUCUUCAACUCUUUGCAUUCUUCAGAUUUUAGAUGCAUUGAAGUUUCUAGUUUCUCUUUCUCAGACAUGAUUGCAUUCAGUUCAUUCUUUAGAGCCAAAAAUUCAUCCUGAAGAGUUCCAAUUUUCAGCAACUCAGUCUUCAAAUUGGUAGAUUCUUCCAUGAGUUGUUGCUUCUCAUACUCGGAAACCGUAAGCUUCAGUUCGAGCUCAUUAACUGUGGUCUCAAGUUUUUCAUCACAUGAUCUGUAAUUUUCCAACAACUUCAACGUUUUUCCAUUAUCAUUCUUCAGCUUUUCUUGGUUUUGAUUAGAGGAAGCAAGCUCCUCCAUCAAGUUUUGAAUCUUCUGCUUGGAUUCCAUCUGAAUGGUGCUGAGUUCUGAUUCCAGCUUAGAUAUAAUUGCGCGUAAAGCAGACGCUUCAUGCUCAGCAUCAGAAGCUAUCCUCUCUUUUUCAUCUUGAGUUGUAGAAAGUUUCUUGGUAAUGUCUCCAAUCUCUCGUUUAAGAUUCUCAACUUGAACGAUCUUCUCCAAAUACAUCUGAUUUAACACACCAACUUUCUUAUUCUGCUUAUCAUUUUCCUUGAGAAGUGCAUCAAGUUCUGAAGUUAGGCUUCUUUCUUUUGAGGCACUAUCUUCCAACAAUGAACGAAUAUUUUCUUGCAAAACAUUAACUUUUUUGGAGCAAUCAGCAAAACUUCUUUGUGAUUCCGUGAGUUUCGUCUCCAGUUGGUUACAAUGCCCUUGCAGCUCUAGUUUCUCCACUUGCAACUCUUCAUUCGAUUUCUGAAGUGACCUGCAUUCUUCCAUAAGACUCUCAGCAGCAACUUGUAACUUUGCAUUACCAUUUCUCAGAUGUUCUAGCUCUUCUUGAGCUUCUGACAAUUGAUCAUGCCUCUGUUCUAGCUUUUGUUUCACAUUCAUCUUCUGAGUCUCUAUCUCAUUUCUCAAUUUUGCAACCUCAGCUUGAAGAUUGACAGCAUUGGAUUUGGAACUCUCUAGCUCCAGUUCGAUCGACUCCCUCUCGUCUGUCAAGUUCAUGAUUUGAGCUUCCAGGCCAGAUAUGCAGGUUGACAACUCUCCAUUUUCCUGCUCAAGCUCUGAGAGAUGAAUCUCCAAUUCAUGCUUGCCAAUUUCUAGCUCUGAAGAUUUUCUCUGUAGAAUUUUAUUGGCAGAAACAUUAGUGUCCACACUUUUGCUGAGCACCAUUAAAUCCUUCCGCAAUUCAUUCAGGCAUUUGGUAGCAAUCUCACUCUCUCUAAUAACAAUUUCCACUUUUUCCUCUAGUUGGCUCUUUUCUUCUUGAAGAACAGAAAGCUUGUCUUCCAAUUCUCUUUGAUAUCUUUCAAGCCUCCCAAUCUCCUCUUCUUUUGACUGCAAACCAUUUUCAAGUCUUUCUAUCACCUCUCUUUUUUCAGUCAAUUCCUUAUUCAGUUCAUUAACUUGAUCUUCCAGAUUUAAUUUGACAUUCUCAAGUUCUUGAAUCGAAAGAUUGUAAUCAAUUUCAAUCUCCUUGAGAAUUUUCUUCUUCAUCUUCUCUUCAAGGGCAUGAAUUUGGGCUUCAUGAUUACUCUCUUCGAAACUGGAAGGGGUAAAAGAUGCACCUUCUUGUGUACAAUGGUUCUUCAUUUCCUUGAGCUUGAGUAAUAGCUCCAAGUUUUCAUCUGUUAGCUCCUGGCAAUCGCUUUCUAGCUCCUGCAGUUUAACUUUCAGUGAUUCAAUCUCUCUGACAAGAAUUCCCUCUCCUCCUUCUGUGGAUUCCUUUUCUGCUGAAUGAUGCCUUUGUUUCAGAGAUUCAGAAAACGUUGCUUUCAAACUGAUUAUUUCUUUGUCUUUAGCCGAUAGCUUGGAUUUAUAUUCUGUCUCCAUAUCCAGAAGCGUUCGAUGAUUGAAACUCCCAUUGUCUGAGUUUCGGGUUUUUUCCUCUAUUGCCAUUUCCAGUUCUUGCACCUUAGCUUGCAAUUUCUUCUCUGAUUCCUGCAACUGUUGCACCUGGAGAACCAAGUCCUGGUUCUUCUGCACAUUCUCCUGAAUAGAAUUUUCCAUAUCACUGAAUUUUGAUUGUAGAAUUGACAGCUUCUCUAUUUCAGCUUUCUGCUUUUCUACAGUCUCUUCCAGCUCCUGAAGCACUGAAACAAGCUCAACAUUUGACUCUUGACUCCUACUCAACUGCAAGGUGAGAUUGGCAUUAGAUUCUUUCUGAAACUUAAUCUCAUUUUCUAACUCCUUUAAAACAUGGGUUGCUCCUUUGUCCUGAAGUGAGGAAUCCUCCAAGGCUGCUGGUUUCUCUGUUGACUUCUCCAACAAUAGCUUCAGCUUUUCAACUUCCUUUUGCAGUCCCUCACGUUCUGCACACGCUGCUGACAGCUCCAUCUCCAAAUUUACUUGGUUACUGGACUGGUCUGAGUAUUCUUUCCUCAAUAUCUCUAAGUCAAGCAUUAGCUUCCUGGCAUUCCUCUCCCACAUCUUAGCUUCACUGUGAAGGUCUUCGAUUGUAUCUUCUGCAGCUUCCAAUAGGCUUUUAGAUGAACCUGAAAUUCUCGAAGAUGGUGCAGCCAACUCUUGAAGGUCAUCCACAGAAAGGUUUGCUGAAUGUGUAAUCCGUGA
rnacentral:lncRNA from 1 species